AAAGUUCUGGAAUAUAAUUAAACCCAAGGACAGGAAGUAGCAUCUGAAAAGGAUUUUUGUUGGUCGUGAAAAAAAUCCCUUUAAUUAACCUUCCUUAAAAAGCCAACCGCCAGUAUAAAUUAGUACAUUCCACCAAUGAGCAGCUUCAGAAAUGGUGCACUUUGAAGCUGCCGCUUCCUCUUCACACGCUGGGACAUUAAUGCCGCGGUGUAAUUUGUCUUCUUCCUUGGACCUGUACCAGGCUUCGUGGACUCCUGGAUCAGCGCCUUUCUUGGACACUUGCUUUCUAAGCUGACGGAACAACGCGCGCUGAAUGUAUCGCGGAAUGGGGGAAGCAGAUCAGACUGGAUGUCGCUUCCUGCCUCUCCCAGCCUCUGGCCUCACACAUUUUGGACCCAGGCUCACGAGAGCUUAUUCUCAUCCUGCUUGAGGAAUUUUGUUUGCAUGGGACCAAUAGCCCAAAUAUUUGCAUCUAUUGAUUUGCUAUUUGUUAUGCAACUGUCUUUCCAGCAUAAAUGACAUUAUUAUAAAUGAUCUGAAACACAAACAA